GACGACCAUAGCGAGUUUGAACCACCUGACCCCAUUCCGAACUCAGAAGUGAAAAGACUCAGCGCCGAUGGUAGUGUGGGGUGUCCCCAUGUGAGAGUAGGUCAUCGUC
rnacentral:rRNA from 1 species